GACUUAGUAGCGGACGGUACCGCACGCGCCGUGAUCAGGUUUUCGUGCAUUGGAUUUGGCUGCGAGGUCCUGGUUCGAUUCCAGGCUGGGUCA